UGACAGAGUACAGAGCAAUUCCAAAAAUACACACCUAAAUAGCCUACAUAUCACACACAAUUAUUCAACCAAACACAAAAUGAUUAAAACACAACCUAUACAUUAAUAAAGUGCUUACCCAACAGUAAAAAGUGCCAAAACAGCUGGAUCCUUCGCAGCCCCAGGUAUCCCAACAUUCAUUGCACGCCGGUUGAUUGUCCCAGUGUAAAUAAUGGCAUCGGCUGUGGUUGUGGAGUUGAGCCCCCCGGAUUUUACCUAGAAAUGGAGCAAGGUGCAAACUGCCCUGUUCAUUAAAGGGGGGAGAGCGACCACCUCUUCACUGGGGCAAAAUUUUCUGCCAACGUGGCUUGGAGGACAAUUUUGGAGAAAAUGGGCCUGUGGGGGAAGGUGACUUCCCUCCAAGCAAGAAAAAAGUGGGACAAUUAAAAAAAAAAAAUACAAAGAUUGCAAGUGUCCAGGGUCAGGAGAGGGUGUAGGGGGGAAGCCCACUGCUGCAACUUGGCCCUGGUUUGUCCUCAUGGAUGAGGUGUUGGGACAGAGGCAUUCCACCACCCCACCUGUCGUAAUUGC